rnacentral:rRNA from 1 species
CGGGCGACGCGGCGGUCUAAGUCCCUUGGAACGGGGCGUCAUAGAGGGUGAGAAUCCCGUAUGCGACCGGUGGCUGAGCCCAUGCGAAACCCCUUCGACGAGUCGAGUUGUUUGGGAAUGCAGCUCAAAACGGGUGGUAAAUUUCAUCUAAAGCUAAAUACCGGCCAGAGACCGAUAGCGCACAAGUAGAGUGAUCGAAAGAUGAAAAGCACUUUGGAAAGAGAGUCAAAAAGUACGUGAAAUUGUUGAAAGGGAAGCGCUUGCAACCAGACCUGCCCGCGGGUGCUCCGCCGUCCUUCUGGGCGGCGUACUCGCCCGCGAUCAGGCCAGCAUCGGUUCGGGCGGUCGGAUAAAGGCCCUGGGAACGUAGCUCCUCUCGGGGAGUGUUAUAGCCCAAGGUGCAAUGCGACCCGCCCGGACCGAGGACCGCGCUUCGGCGAGGAUGCUGGCGUAAUGGUUGUAAGCGGCCCGUCUUGAAACACGGACCAAGGAGUCGACCAACUCUGCGAGUGUUUGGGCGUCAAACCCACACGCGCAAUGAAAGUGAACGGAGGUGGGAACCCCUUCGCGGGGGCGCACCAUCGACCGAUCCAGAUGUCUUCGGAUGGAUUUGAGUACGAGCAUGGCUGGUCGGACCCGAAAGAUGAUGAACUAUGCCUGGAUAGGGUGAAGCCAGAGGAAACUCUGGUGGAGGCUCGCAGCGGUUCUGACGUGCAAAUCGAUCGUCAAAUUUGGGCAUAGGGGCGAAAGACUAAUCGAAUCAUC